GGCUUCGUGGUGUAAUGGUCAGCAUAUUCGGCGUCGAUUCGAGAGGUCCGAGGUUCGAGUCCCGGCGAGGGCA
rnacentral:tRNA from 1 species